UGUAGAAGUAGUAACUCUCCAAGUUAUAUUUUACUUAUAAAAAAGACAUCAGACCACAAUAAAGCACGGUUAAAUUAGUUAAAAGACUAUCUCCAAUCAAUAUAUUACUCUUAUAUUAGAAAAGGCAUGUUCAACAUGUCUUGUUAAUGUCAAUUAAAUUGAUAUCAAGGGCAAUUCAGACUUUUGAGUCAAAUAUUUAUGCUAUGUGAUCAAGGGCAAUUCAUACUUUUGAGUCAAAUAUUUAUGCUAUGUGUCUCUUAAGUUGAAGAGAAAAAGACACGUAUCAAAAUGUGUGCAGAGCACUUGUUAUCAUUCUUUCUACAAUCAAUUCAUGCUCUCUCUCUCUCCACCGCGUGUGACUUUAUGUUGUGUAAUUGGUGGGGUUUCGUGCCAUUUCUCUCUCGCUUAACUAGUGUCCCGCCGGGAGAGAAGGAAGUGCAAGAGUAGAAGAAAGCUAUUUAUCUGCUUCUAAGAAACAUUUUUUUUAAUUUCUUCUUCUUCUUAUGCUUUCUGCUCCCACAAUCUCACUUUUUCUUCUCUGUGCAGUGUUCUUUCGACAGUUUGUGAUUUUCUCAACUUUAAUCAACUUUUCAUCAUCUAUGAGUAAUGGCAUUUUCAACGUCGAUGGCGAUAUAUGGAAGUAUCAAUGACAAUUUGCUAGCCACAAAUUCAAUACUAAAUCACUACAAAAAUUCGUUGAAUCUGUAGUUGAUGUCGAGGUAUCUGAACGUUUAGUUCCCAUACUCGCGAACGCUGCUGCUGAGAAAAAUGUUGUCGAUCUACAAGACGUGUUGCAAAGGUUUGCAUUUGAUAACAUUUGUAAAAUUGCAUUUGGAUAUGAUCCAAAGCAUUUGUUACCUAACCUGCCUGAAGCAGAAUUCGCGGUAGCAUUUGAAGAUUGUGUUAGAUUGAGAAGUGAGAGAUUUGCUGUCCCUUUUCCGUUGAUUUGGAAAAUUAAACGCGCAUUUGGUAUUGGUUCUUAGAAAAAAUUAGGAAUUGCAGUUGGAGAAGUACGUGAAUUCGCGAAGAGAAUAGUGAGGGAGAAGUUGAAUGAGAGAUCGUCGUUGGAUUCAGCAGGUACAUUUUCUAGGUAAUAACACUGAAGGUACAUUUCUAGGUACUAACACUCAAGAAAUUAGGAAUUGCAGUUGGAGAAGCUGAGGCUUUUUUCAUGGUAACAUGUUCAUCUGGGUUUUCUUAGUUUUCGGAGAUACUAUCAAUAGAUGAUUUUGGAUGGGGUAACGACAUGCAUGUGCUUUUUUUUUAAUUUACUUUGAUUAUUUUUUUCUUUUGUUUAUAAGUUAUUCCAACAAAUGCAAAAUUAUGCACCCUAGAUGUUUGAUUAUUUGCCUAAGAAAACUGAUUAAUAUUUUUUUAUAUAUAAUUUUUAAAUCUGUGUUGGUGAUUUGCACUUGUUUCUUAUUCUUCCUCGCCGUCUUUAUCUCUUUGUUUUAGUUGUUCACCAAUUUUUUUUUGUGUUUCUCCAAUUUCUUGAUUCUUCUUUCACAGGUUUAACAACAAUUUAAGUUUACUCAUUGUGAUUCAUAUAUUAUUUCUUUUUAAUUUCACUGUAAGUGCUAGCAAUUUAGCAGAUCCUUUUGAGCCUAUAAAUUUUAUAAUUGUGGAACACAUACUGUUUUCCUGCAAUUGGUUUCGGGUAUGUUCUUUUGCAUUAAAAGUUAUAGCAAGGUGAUUUUAUUUCAUUUAGCGGAUGAGUAUGUUUGGAGAUUUCUUUAAACUUUAUACUUGAUCUAUGUCUUUAAUUUAUUUAUUUUUGGUGCCACCGAUCAAAUUAGUUGUCUUCCAUAGACAUUUUUAACUCUUCUUUUUCAUUAUCAUCUUUCAUUUGCUCUGUCUCUUUUUGAGUUGGUAACUGUUUGGGGUCGAAGUGGUUUCUAUUGUUUAAUUUUUUUCCUUUACUUGAAUGCUUUUAACUAGCUAGAUUCUAUAUGCAUUAAUUUCAACUUUUUGCCUCAUUCUCAUUGCUAGAUGUACAUCAAGAAAGGAAAAAAAGAUCUUUAGAAAUUUCUCUAGCAGUGUGAGAACAUUAGCCGACGCUUCCUCUUAAAAGACACUAUUGGAUUAAUUAUUGAGUUUUUGGGCAUAAUAUUUUUUCCCUUUAUCUCAAUUUGAGUUGUAAGUUAUAUCAGGUGUGUGCCUUAUUAUGACUUUUUCUUUCUUUUUUGUUUAAUUAAGGUAUGCAAUUACUGCUAAUAGAGUUUGAUGAACGUUUUAGGUGUUUGAUAAUAUGCCUAAAAUAGUUGAUAUUUUUUUUUAUUAAUUUUAACUUUUCUCUUUUGAUAGAUGUUUUACAACUUGUAGCAGAUUAUUUCACUUCACUGAAUUUGAAAAAAAUUCUAGCUUUGUUGAAGGAAAAUAUGGCUGUCAAUCUACCAUAGAUAUAGUGAUGCAGAGAAUGAAGAUUAGAAACACCGUAUAAAUACAACAAAGAGAGACCUUUUUAGCAGAUGAUCAUGCCUUCAUCUCCAGCAUGAUGAGUUGCGACAUAAAAUUUUUAUCAGGCUUGAUAAUUAUUUAAGCUUUCAUUCACCACAUUUUCUUCAAUCUUCUUCACUCUGAUCAAUCAGUAGAUGAUUUGAAAUGGAAUAAAUGUGAAUCAGGUGUUUCAACAUCUA